AUCAGGAUGGCCAAGUGGUCGAAGACGCUGCGUUCAGGUCGCAGUCUUCACUGGAGGUGUGGGUUCGAAUCCCACUCCUGACA